AGAGAAAGCAAACAUCAGCGUCAUCUCUGCUGAGAAGAGGAGACCAAUAAAAACAGUAUUAAUUUACAAAAUCACAGCAGAUACAGAGGACUGGGGAAACGAGGGCCUCUUGGAGAUUUUAGAACACCUUGAAAGGUAAACCUAAGCAUCUGCUGAUAGCUCUGCCAUGCUGUAUUCUGAUGUAGGCAAGGUGUUGGGAACCUGUAUUUUUCAUGUUGUAUUUCAGAUUGCAGAACUCAGAGGUUCCUAUGGUGUCCCAGCAAACAAAACAGACCAUGAAACAUGAAGAAAUCACAUAAUUAGUUCAUGUUUGUAUAGGGCUUUGAGCAGGCAAAUUUCCAGGCAGCAUUGGAGGACUUCAUGGCAGAGAAGCUAAGCAUGAACAUCACUCCACACCGAUUGUUGCUCUAGGUGCUGGCAGCUGUGCACCAAUGGUAUGCUGUGAGGAGGAAACAAGGCAUGCAAGCAAAGUCACAGAGAAAGAACCCCGCCCCUCCCCGUUACCCAGAGUUUUCAGAACCUCCAACAGGGGCAACUUAACUAUUUCACUCCAGGGGGUGUAAGGAAUGAAUCAACAGGAACUCAGCAAUUCCGUCUGAUCAAGGAAAAAUGCAAGUAAGCAUGCUUUUGUCUAACACUGCAGUUUAUUAGAUUUAAGCACACACAGACAUAAGCAAUAGAUUUAGAACAUCCCAGAUAUUUACCUAUAUUCUGAGACGGUACUGAGUAAUCAACAACAGGUCAGCAUCAGG
rnacentral:lncRNA from 1 species